AUUGAACGCUGGCGGCAGGCCUAACACAUGCAAGUCGAGCGGCAGCGGGACCUUCGGUUCGCCGGCGAGCGGCGGACGGGUGAGUAAUGCCUAGGAAUCUGCCUGUUAGUGGGGGAUAACGCGGGGAAACGAGCGCUAAUACCGCAUACGUACUACGGGAGAAAGUGGGGGACCCCCGGGCCUCACGCUAACAGAUGCGCCUAGGCCGGAUUAGCUAGUUGGUGGGGUAAAGGCCCACCAAGGCGACGAUACGUAACUGGGCUGAGAGGAUGAUCAGUCACACUAGAACUGAGACACGGUCCAGACUCCUACGUGAGGCAGCAGUGGGGAAUAUUGGACAAUGGGCGAAAGCCUGAUCCAGCCAUGCCGCGUGUGUGAAGAAGGUCUUCGGAUUGUAAAGCACUUACAGUUGGGAGGAGGGGCGCUCGGUGAAUACCCAGGCGUCUUGACGUUACCGACAGAAUAAGCACCGGCUAACUUCGUGCCAGCCGCCGCCGUAAAAC
rnacentral:rRNA from 1 species